UCUCCGUGUUUCACACGGCGAAUUGUAAUCUGUAGAGGCUAUGCUCACCGGGGAGUGGCGCAGAAGUGCCCUGGAACGGGCCGCCAGAGAGGAUGACAGCCCCGUACGUGGUGCCGCUUCCUAACGAGCAGGUCUUCAAAGAGUCGGGUUGUUUUGUAUUGCAGCCCCAAGUGGGAGAUAAACUUCUUCUAAGGCUAAAUAUAUGUGGGAAACCGAUAGCGAACAAGUACUGUGAAGGAAAGAUGAAAAGCACUUUGGAAAGAGAGUCAAAAGACCUGAAACCGUUGAGAAGGAAGCGGAAGAGAUGAAUUCUACGGCGGUGCGCUGGGAAGCGGUUUCCGGACCGUGGCUAGCGCGGCGUUGUGAGGCCGGAUGGAGUGACGUGACCACAGAGGCCUGUUGAACCUGGCGGCCUUCGGGUUGCAGUUCGGGAGUGCCGGUGGUUGCGUGGCUUGAGGGUGCUUUGUGCGAUCCGGUCAAAAUGGUCUUUUCCGGCUCGUCUUGAAACACGAACCAAGGAGUCUA
rnacentral:rRNA from 1 species